GUAUGCGCUUUGAUUUCACCAAGAUGCUCAACCAGAAGUUCUCCCUCAAUCACAGCGUUUCGAUGGGGCCUACUGAGAUCCCUUCUCAGUCAAUGGAGACUAUUAAAACCCCUACCGCUAACUAUGAGUUUGGUGCAACCUUCAUUGAUCAUCCCAAGUAGAUGCUGUUGGGGAGAAUAUUGACUGAUGGAAGGCUCAAUGCAAGAGUCAAGUGCGACGUCUCUGAAAAUCUCACUCUUAAAGCCAAUGCUCAGCUUACGAAUGAGCCACACAUGUCUUAAGGGAUGGUCAACUUUGAUUACAAGGUCAAUUGCUUUAACCUUCCUAGAUCAUUUUCUCCCGUUUUUGACAUAUAUUGUAUUAGUGUGACUUAAUGGGAGUUUUAUAUACUAACCACAAGAACUGCCCUCUCAAGAUUUCCAUGGGGAACAAAAUCCAAACUUCACACUUCACUCAACACUCUCAUAACCUCAAAUCUUCCUGUUAAUCUGUAGCUUUUUGAAUUUGGUAUGCUUCUUCCACUUUAGCUACAUGUUUUCCAGCAAUCCUCACAUACUAUUGCUAAUAAUUUCAUUUACUUAUACUGCACAAUGUUCUACAAGAUGUUAUCAAUCUUUUGAGAAAUUGAUUAUUGAUUUUUUUUUGUAAUAUAGUUUCUGCAUUAUUAAAGCUAUGUUAACUUCUUUUACAUUUUUUUCUAUAUUACUUUUGCUAUCAGACAUUGGGACGUUUGGCUCAAAAUAGAGAGGCCGCAAGAAAAAGCCAUCUAAGGAAAAAGGUGCUAUUUUUGUUGGGACUUGUCUAUCUGCUAUUUUUGUUUGAUAAUUAUCUAUUUUAAAAUAUGCUCAUUUGUUCCAAAUUUCUUAUACCAUAAGAAUUAUUGUGGACAAGGCAUCCAUAGAAAACUCUUUAUUUUAAUUUUUGCAGGGCUGAAAAAUUUGAAAGUACUCAAUUUGGGAUUUAAUGACAUUACUGAUGCAUGUUUUAUUUUCUUAUUUGUGUUUAGGAUAGUUUCUCCUCCCCUGAUAGGCGUAAUUCUAGUGAAGAUGUAGUGUGCAUAAACAUGAAAAUGUUGAU